CAUUCACACGACUAUGUAUUUUAUGGUCCGCAAAACAAAGAUCGGCAAAAAAUACAGAUGACGAACACACUGUCAUUUCCAUUUUUUUGCAGACCCAUUGAAAUGAUUGGUCCCGCAUACGGGCCGCAAUAAAAC